AUGCUAUCUCCGGAAGAGUUCAUCUUGGUAGUCACCACUUUGUGGGCACUCUGGUUUGCACGGCGACAGGCACUACAUGAAAAUAUUUUCCAGAGUCCUCUAUCAACUUACCACUUCAUCUUGAAAUUUAUUCGGGAGCUGGAUGAGUGUAAACCGAAGAAGGCGCCUGCUGUGGCACCGACGGUAGUUCCUACAAGGACAAGGUGGAUCCCUCCCCCUCAAGGAAUUGACAAAAUCCGGGUUGAUGGAGCUGUAUCCAGAGAUGGCAAUUUUGGAUCUUUUAGUGCCUUGUGCAGAACCCAUUCGGGCAUGUUUCUGGGAGCCUCGGUUAUGAAGAUAUAUGGCGUAACGGACCCGGCGACACUAGAAGCACUGGCAUGCCGCGAGGCGCUUGCACUGGCAGCGGACCUGGGCCUUGCUCGCAUCAUUAUCGCUAGCGACUGCCAAGAGGUUGUGAAAGACAUCAAGAAUAGCACCGGGGGAGCCUACGCGAGCACUACCAGGGAGAUUGUGGAAACAUCAGCUACUUUUGACAGUUGCACCUUCAUCUUCGAAGGGAGAGCAACCAAUAUUGAGGCACAUAGCCUCGCUAAGCAUGCUUUCGGUUUGGAUUUUGGGCGCCAUGUGUGGCUGUUAAACCCUCCAAACAUAUCUUGUAUCCCCAUGAACUUGUUUGAGUAA
rnacentral:rRNA from 1 species